rnacentral:snoRNA from 1 species
GAGUGAAGUGAUGCUUAACCAUCUUUCGGGACUUACCCAAUAAUGGGGAUAUUUUUUUCUCAUACUGAUCACUC